GUGCCCUUUUCGCCGGCAGCACGUAUACCAACAUCGGAACGAUCCAGAGACGAUUAGCAUCGCCCCCGCACAAGGAUGACAGGCAGAUUCGUGAAGCAUGCCAUAUUUUU
ensembl:snRNA U6 U6 spliceosomal RNA